rnacentral:rRNA from 1 species
GAUGAACGCUGGCGGCGUGCUUAACACAUGCAAGUCGAACGGAAAGGCCCAAGCUUGCUUGGGUACUCGAGUGGCGAACGGGUGAGUAACACGUGGGUGAUCUGCCCUGCACUUCGGGAUAAGCCUGGGAAACUGGGUCUAAUAUCGGAUAGGACGAUGGUUUGGAUGCCAUUGUGGAAAGUUUUUUCGGUGUGGGAUGAGCUCGCGGCCUAUCAGCUUGUUGGUGGGGUAAUGGCCUACCAAGGCGUCGACGGGUAGCCGGCCUGAGAGGGUGUACGGACACAUUGGGACUGAGAUACGGCCCAGACUCCUACGGGAGGCAGCAGUGGGGAAUAUUGCACAAUGGGCGCAAGCCUGAUGCAGCGACGCCGCGUGGGGGAUGACGGCCUUCGGGUUGUAAACUCCUUUCGCUAGGGACGAAGCGUUUUUGUGACGGUACCUGGAGAAGAAGCACCGGCUAACUACGUG